rnacentral:rRNA from 1 species
UACGUAGGGUGCAAGCGUUGUCCGGAAUUAUUGGGCGUAAAGAGCUCGUAGGCGGUCUGUCGCGUCUGCUGUGAAAACCCAGGGCUUAACCCUGGGCCUGCAGUGGGUACGGGCAGACUAGAGUGCGGUAGGGGAGAUCGGAAUUCCUGGUGUAGCGGUGAAAUGCGCAGAUAUCAGGAGGAACACCGGUGGCGAAGGCGGAUCUCUGGGCCGUAACUGACGCUGAGGAGCGAAAGCAUGGGGAGCGAAC